GAUGAGGUAGCCAACACUGUUUAUAUAUCUUUCCUGGUAAAAUAUUUUAUAAAUAAAUAAAUAAAUAAUAUAUAUAUAUUUUUUUUUAAUUGUGGUAGUCCACAAAAUAUUGGGACAUAUAAAAAAGACAACUCUGUUCUGCAGAGUAGCUGUUGACAUUAUAGUUGCGCAGGCACUUUGUUGACUCUAGAGAACCUCGGGCCAAUCGCACAUCCCCAUGAUGGCGACUUUGCAUUCGGAUGUCAUUCAUAUCAACUUUUGAUGCCAGUUUCUGCGCCUACCAUGGUGACCACGGAUAACGGGGAAUCAGGGCUCCAUUCCAUACAGGGACCCUGAGAAACGGCUACCACAUGCAAGGAAGGCAGCAGGCGCGCAAAUAACCCACUCCCGACAUGGGAAGGUAGUGAC